rnacentral:rRNA from 1 species
AAAUUGAAGAGUUUGAUCAUGGCUCAGAUUGAACGCUGGCGGCAGGCCUAACACAUGCAAGUCGAGCGGUAGCACAGAGAGCUUGCUCUCGGGUGACGAGCGGCGGACGGGUGAGUAAUGUCUGGGAAACUGCCUGAUGGAGGGGGAUAACUACUGGAAACGGUAGCUAAUACCGCAUAACGUCGCAAGACCAAAGUGGGGGACCUUCGGGCCUCAUGCCAUCAGAUGUGCCCAGAUGGGAUUAGCUAGUAGGUGGGGUAACGGCUCACCUAGGCGACGAUCCCUAGCUGGUCUGAGAGGAUGACCAGCCACACUGGAACUGAGACACGGUCCAGACUCCUACGGGAGGCAGCAGUGGGGAAUAUUGCACAAUGGGCGCAAGCCUGAUGCAGCCAUGCCGCGUGUGUGAAGAAGGCCUUCGGGUUGUAAAGCACUUUCAGCGGGGAGGAAGGCGGUGAGGUUAAUAACCUCAUCGAUUGACGUUACCCGCAGAAGAAGCACCGGCUAACUCCGUGCCAGCAGCCGCGGUAAUACGGAGGGUGCAAGCGUUAAUCGGAAUUACUGGGCGUAAAGCGCACGCAGGCGGUCUGUCAAGUCGGAUGUGAAAUCCCCGGGCUCAACCUGGGAACUGCAUUCGAAACUGGCAGGCUAGAGUCUUGUAGAGGGGGGGUAGAAUUCCAGGUGUAGCGGUGAAAUGCGUAGAGAUCUGGAGGAAUACCGGUGGCGAAGGCGGCCCCCUGGACAAAGACUGACGCUCAGGUGCGAAAGCGUGGGGAGCAAACAGGAUUAGAUACCCUGGUAGUCCACGCCGUAAACGAUGUCGAUUUGGAGGUUGUGCCCUUGAGGCGUGGCUUCCGGAGCUAACGCGUUAAAUCGACCGCCUUGGGGAGUACGGCCGCAAGGUUAAAACUCAAAUGAAUUGACGGGGGCCCGCACAAGCGGUGGAGCAUGUGGUUUAAUUCGAUGCAACGCGAAGAACCUUACGGUCUUGACAUCCACAGAACUUUCCAGAGAUGGAUUGGUGCCUUCGGGAACUGUGAGACAGGUGCUGCAUGGCUGUCGUCAGCUCGUGUUGUGAAAUGUUGGGUUAAGUCCCGCAACGAGCGCAACCCUUAUCCUUUGUUGCCAGCGGUUAGGCCGGGAACUCAAAGGAGACUGCCAGUGAUAAACUGGAGGAAGGUGGGGAUGACGUCAAGUCAUCAUGGCCCUUACGACCAGGGCUACACACGUGCUACAAUGGCAUAUACAAAGAGAAGCGACCUCGCGAGAGCAAGCGGACCUCAUAAAGUAUGUCGUAGUCCGGAUUGGAGUCUGCAACUCGACUCCAUGAAGUCGGAAUCGCUAGUAAUCGUAGAUCAGAAUGCUACGGUGAAUACGUUCCCGGGCCUUGUACACACCGCCCGUCACACCAUGGGAGUGGGUUGCAAAAGAAGUAGGUAGCUUAACCUUCGGGAGGGCGCUUACCACUUUGUGAUUCAUGACUGGGGUGAAGUCGUAACAAGGUAACCGUAGGGGAACCUGCGGUUGGAUCACCUCCUUACCUUAAAGAA